GCCCUUCACUACGGAAUAGCCUCGGGAAACUGAGAGUAAUACCGUAUACGCCCUUUGGGGAAAGAUUUAUCGGUGAAGGAUUAGCCCGCGUCUGAUUAGAUAGUUGGUGGGGUAGCGGCCUACCAAGUCGACGAUCAGUAGCUGGUUUGAGAGGAUGAUCAGCAACACUGGGACUGAGACACGGCCCAGACUCCUACGGGAGGCAGCAGUGGGGAAUCUUAGACAAUGGGGGAAACCCUGAUCUAGCCAUGCCGCGUGAGUGACGAAGGCCCUAGGGUCGUAAAGCUCUUUCGCCAGGGAUGAUAAUGACAGUACCUGGUAAAGAAACCCCGGCUAACUCCGUGCCAGCAGCCGCGGUAAUACGGAGGGGGUUAGCGUUGUUCGGAAUUACUGGGCGUAAAGCGCGCGUAGGGGGAUUAGUCAGUCAGAGGUGAAAUCCCAGGGCUCAACCCUGGAACUGCCUUUGAUACUGCUAGUCUUGAGUUCGAGAGAGGUGAGUGGAAUUCCGAGUGUAGAGGUGAAAUUCGUAGAUAUUCGGAGGAACACCAGUGGCGAAGGGGCUCACUGGCUCGAUACUGACGCUGAGGUGCGAAAGUGUGGGGAGCAAACAGGAUUAGAUACCCUGGUAGUCCACACCGUAAACGAUGAAUGCCAGACGUCGGGGGGCAUGCCCUUCGGUGUCACACCUAACGGAUUAAGCAUUCCGCCUGGGGAGUACGGUCGCAAGAUUAAAACUCAAAGGAAUUGACGGGGGGCCCGCACAAGCGUGGAGCAUGUGGUUUAAUUCGAAGCAAC
rnacentral:rRNA from 1 species